rnacentral:rRNA from 1 species
UACGUAGGGGGCUAGCGUUGUCCGGAUUUAUUGGGCGUAAAGAGCGUGUAGGCGGCCAGGUAGGUCUGCUGUGAAAACUCGAGGCUCAACCUCGAGACGUCGGCGGAAACCAUCUGGCUAGAGUCCGGAAGAGGAGAGUGGAAUUCCUGGUGUAGCGGUGAAAUGCGCAGAUAUCAGGAAGAACACCCGUGGCUAAGGCGGCUCUCUGGGACGGUACUGACGCUGAGACGCGAAAGCGUGGGGAGCAAACAGG